CACGUAGGGGGCAAGCGUUGUCCGGAUUUAUUGGGCGUAAAGAGCUCGUAGGCGGCUCGGUAAGUCGGGUGUGAAACCUCCAGGCUCAACCUGGAGACGCCACCCGAUACUGCUGUGGCUUGAGUCCGGUAGGGGAGCGUGGAAUUCCUGGUGUAGCGGUGAAAUGCGCAGAUAUCAGGAGGAACACCAGCGGCGAAGGCGGCGCUCUGGGCCGGAACUGACGCUGAGGAGCGAAAGCGUGGGUAGCAAACAGG
rnacentral:rRNA from 1 species